rnacentral:rRNA from 1 species
CUUGCUGGGAGGCGUCGAGCGGCGGACGGGUGAGUAAUGCAUAGGAAUCUGCCCGGUAGUGGGGGAUAACUUGAGGAAACUCAAGCUAAUACCGCAUACGCCCUACGGGGGAAAGCAGGGGCUCUUCGGACCUUGCGCUAUCGGAUGAGCUUAUGUCGGAUUAGCUAGUUGGUGAGGUAACGGCUUACCAAGGCGACGAUCCGUAGCUGGUCUGAGAGGAUGAUCAGCCACAUCGGGACUGAGACACGGCCCGAACUCCUACGGGAGGCAGCAGUGGGGAAUAUUGGACAAUGGGCGAAAGCCUGAUCCAGCCAUGCCGCGUGUGUGAAGAAGGCCCUCGGGUUGUAAAGCACUUUCAGUGAGGAAGAAGGCUUGUCGGUUAAUACCCGGCAGGAAGGACAUCACUCACAGAAGAAGCCCCGGCUAACUCCGUGCCAGCAGCCGCGGUAAUACGGAGGGGGCAAGCGUUAAUCGGAAUUACUGGGCGUAAAGCGUGCGUAGGCGGCUUGGUAAG